UUCUAAUUAAAUUUCUCCAUUUUUUUAAAAAAAAAUUAAAAUCAAAAUUUUAAUUUUUUAUUAUUUAUUAUAAUUAAUAUUUUAUAAUAAAAAAUUAUGGAAUAAAAAUUAUGAUAAAUAUCGUAUACCCUAUCUGAGAAUUUUAUAGCGGGAAUCAAAUGUGAUUAAUCUCUUAAUCAGCAAUUCAGAAUACCAAUCAACUGCACUGAAUAAUAAUAGUUUGAUUUUU
rnacentral:lncRNA from 1 species